rnacentral:rRNA from 1 species
AUUGAACGCUGGCGGCAUGCCUUACACAUGCAAGUCGAACGGCAGCACGGGAGCAAUCCUGGUGGCGAGUGGCGAACGGGUGAGUAAUAUAUCGGAACGUGCCCAGUCGUGGGGGAUAACGCAGCGAAAGCUGUGCUAAUACCGCAUACGAUCUAUGGAUGAAAGCGGGGGACCGCAAGGCCUCGCGCGAUUGGAGCGGCCGAUAUCAGAUUAGCGGGUUGUUGGGGUAAAGGCCCACCAAGGCGACGAUCUGUAGCUGGUCUGAGAGGACGGCGAGCCACACUGCGACUGAGAAACGGUGAAGACUCCUACGGGAGGCAGCAGUGGGGAGUUUUGGGCAAUGGGCGCAAGCAUGAUCCGGCAAGGCCGCGUGCAGGAUGAAGGCAUUUGGGUUGUAAACUGCUUUUGUACGGAACGAAACGGUGAGCUUUAAUACAGUUAGCUAAUGACGGUACCGUAAGAAUAAGCACCGGCUAACUACGUGCAAGCAGCCGCGGUAA